GCCGCAGUCCCCUGUGCUAAGGUAGCAUAAUAAUUUGCCCUUUAAUUCAGGGAUAGAAGAAAGGGAAACAUGAUUCAUUAACUUUUUUCCAUUAUUCAAUAUAAAAUUACUUUAAAAGUAAAAAAACUUUUAUAAAACAGAAGGACGACAAGACCCUAUAGAACUUUACAUUUAGUUAAAUGGGGCGGUAAAUAACUAAAACUUACUUCUAUUUAAAGAUAUAGACCUAAUAUUAUUAACAAUAAGAUCAAGUUACCUUAGGGAUAACAGCAUAAUUUUAUUCUUGAGAACAUAUCUAAAAUAAAGUUUAUGACCUCGAUGUUGAAUUAAUUUUACUUAUUAAGCAAAGUUAAUAAAAGUAGGUCUGUUCGACCUGUAAAAAAUUACAUGAUUUGAGUUCAGACCGGCGCAAGCCAGGUCAGAUUCUAUCCUCUAUUAUAUUAUUACAGUACGAAAGGACCUAAUAAAAAAUA
rnacentral:rRNA from 1 species